rnacentral:rRNA from 1 species
CGGGAAACUGGGGAUAAUACCCUAUAGACUAUGGAUGCUGGAAUGCUUCGUAGUUGAAAGGUCCGCCGCUGUAGGAUGGGUCUGCGGCCGAUUAGGUUGUUGUUGGGGUAACGGCCCAACAAGCCUGUAAUCGGUACGGGUUGUGGGAGCAAGAGCCCGGAGAUGGAUUCUGAGACACGACUCCAGGCCCUACGGGGCGCAGCAGGCGCGAAAACUUUACAAUGCGGGAAACCGGGAUAAGGGAACUCUGAGUGCCCGUAAAAUCGGGCUGUCCAUCAGUUUAAGUAACUGGUGGAGAAAGGGCCGGGCAAGACCGGUGCCAGCCGCCGCGGAACA